ensembl:snoRNA
AGGUCCAUUCUAAUUCCCUGCAGGUCAGUGCCAGUACCUGCUGGGUUUCGCUUGUGGACCACAUUAAACUAGAGAACUGAAGCAUGUAUGAGCUUACUGGUAGUUUGCUCAUGAUGGAGUUUUCUGGACAUGU